rnacentral:rRNA from 1 species
ACUCCUACGGGAGGCAGCAGUGGGGAAUAUUGCACAAUGGGCGCAAGCCUGAUGCAGCCAUGCCGNGUGUAUGAAGAAGGCCUUCGGGUUGUAAAGUACUUUCAGCAGUGAGGAAGGCGGGUAGUUAAUAGCGUGCUCGUUUGACGUUAGCGACAGAAGAAGCACCGGCUAACUCCGUGCCAGCAGCCGCGUAAUACGGAGGGUGCGAGCGUUAAUCGGAAUUACUGGGCGUAAAGCGCAUGCAGGUGGCUUGUU